rnacentral:lncRNA from 1 species
UAGAGAAAUUUAUUUUUUUCUGGAACUUUAUGGUAUGCAUUAUUAAAUCCUUGCUACAGCAGUAUAAAUGAUCCUUGAAGGAGUCAGAGCCCCUCCAACUACAAGCAAAGGACUUUCGAUGUUGAGAUAUGGUCCCAAUGGUGCUCUUCAGUAAUCCCUAUUUUCUUUACUACGGAAAACUGUAAGAAUAUCUAAACUAGCAGACUUAAGCAUCAGAAUGGAUGAAUACUCAGUCAGAAGAAAUGCAGAGCUGCAGGUUUGUCCACAAAGUGUUCCCAUCAACCGUAGCAGCUCUCUCAAAUGUUAGUGUCUAUAUGAAUCCACCUUGGGAUAUUAGUAAAAUGAGUUUCUGAUGCAGAAGAUCUGAGAAAGCGCCUGAAAUUCUGAUAUUCUGUCUUCCAGCUUGCCAGUCCUUCAUGAGGUAUCUCUGGGUGGUCUUGGAAUCCUGCACAGUAUCUAGGUGAGAUCUAUUUACUCUUUAUCCUCCAAUUAAAUCAUUGUGGAAAGGGUGAAUUC